rnacentral:rRNA from 1 species
UACGUAGGGUGCGAGCGUUGUCCGGAAUUAUUGGGCGUAAAGAGCUCGUAGGCGGUUUGUCGCGUCUGCUGUGAAACCUAAGGCUCAACCUUGGGCUUGACAGUGGGUACGGGCAGACUAGAGUGCGGUAGGGGUGACUGGAAUUCCUGGUGUAGCGGUGAAAUGCGCAGAUAUCAGGAGGGAACACCGGUGGGCGAAGGCGGGUCUCUGG